rnacentral:rRNA from 1 species
AUUAAACGCUGGCGGCAUGCCUUACACAUGCAAGUCGAACGGCAGCACGGGGGCAACCCUGGUGGCGAGUGGCGAACGGGUGAGUAAAGCAUCGGAACGUGCCCUGGAGUGGGGGAUAACGUAGCGAAAGUUACGCUAAUACCGCAUAUUCUGUGAGCAGGAAAGCAGGGGAUCGCAAGACCUUGCGCUCUGGGAGCGGCCGAUGUCGGAUUAGCUAGUUGGUGGGGUAAAGGCCUACCAAGGCGACGAUCCGUACCGGGUCUGAGAGGAUGAUCCGCCACACUGGGACUGAGACACGGCCCAGACUCCUACGGGAGGCAGCAGUGGGGAAUUUUGGACAAUGGGCGAAAGCCUGAUCCAGCCAUGCCGCGUGAGUGAAGAAGGCCU